rnacentral:lncRNA from 11 species
CGGCUGAGGGGGGAAAGGAAGGGGCCUGAGGCUGUUAGGGAUGGCGGGAGCUGAAGUCCAAAACACCUGGAGGGCCCAAGUUUGCCCAGGCCUGAUCUAGGACAACUGAAAACUGGGCACUCACGUGAUGCCGAUGAGACCCGAAUAAGGAGUUCCUGCUACGGAGGCCGAGAAGGCUCAGUUCCCCUCCCCGCGCAUCCUAAUCCUGGCCUCUUCUAUAGCGAGAUUCUCGCUAGGGAAGCGGGUCUCCAAGGCAACGGGUCUCCCAAGGCGGCGGCGAAGAGACCUCCUCCUUCGCUGUCUCUGUCUCUCUAGGCCCGUGGUUCCCAUUAACCCUUAGAGACUCCCAGAAGCCCCCGACUGUGAGGAAUCCAGGGGCCUCUUCUCCGCCAUGGCGCUCGUCGGAGGACGCGGCCGCGAGGGCCUCAAGCCACCGGACCCGCCUGGAGGGGCCCCAAACGCGGCCUUUUUGAAAGCCCUGGAAGCCGUUGUCGCCGCUGGGAAGCGUGGCUUGCUUGGCCCCGCAGCCCUGGCCGCCGCGGAAAGGGUCCCGGAACUGAGCCCCCGGACCCGCAGCAGCGUGGAAGGCAACAGCCGAGGGGUUUCUCAGGAAGUCCCGGGCCCAGUUCCACUUAACGCACAGAAGAAGAAGAAGAAGAAACAACAACCCAGGGUUGCAAUGGCUGUGAAUGCACACCUUCCAGAUGUGACAAGUCCUCAAAAGGAAAUCUGGAUAUGUGGCAAUUCUGUGGUCUUGGCAUCAGAGAAAAGAGCUAAGAACAGUUUACAUGGAUUACAGUUGGGCAUCCCAGCUUCAAGGGCACAUGUGUAUUGGCAUGGCAGAUUUGCAAUGAAAUGGGAGCAUCUCUUGCUAGUUUUACGUGACAUUUACCACAAGCGGCCUUCUCCUUCCGUUCUAAUAAUUCAUCUUGGUGAAGAUGAUCUGUUGCCCAGUGACAACUUCUCACUUCUUAUGUCCAUGAAAAAUGACCUGGACAUCCUUAGAAAAGCAUUCCCAGACACUGUUAUAAUUUGGUCUUCACUGCUGCCAAGAUGCGGUUCCAAGAAACAUGAAAAAACUGAACACAUGGAAAAAGCUCUGAAAGAAAUUAACACGAGAAUGGCAGACUAUUGUAAUAAAAUUGACGUGCACUUUUUGUCACAUAGCUCUAUUACCUCUGAUAAAACUGGCUUGUUCUUGCCCAAUCUUACUGCACUGUCUGAUGCAGGAGCUGAUAUCUUCAUAGAAGAUGUGCAGACAGUAUUACGUCUCUAUGAACUAUUUGGGUAGUGUUGAACGAGUUGCUGAAAAGACAGGAUAACAAUCAUGUUGUUGCCCAUAUAAAGUUAUAGGUAGGAUGUCUAUUUAAUAGAAAGGCUACACUGUAUUUUACAUACACAGUUGGCAGGUGCAUUCCUAUAACCCGACAGUUAUUUCAGCUUUAUUGGUUGGUUAGUUUGAUGGUUGAUUUAUUUUUGCUAUAAUGUUCCUGAUUUUCUGUUUUUCUGUUAUUGUUUAUGUACUUACUAUGUACUAUGUAUGUACUUGCAUGUCAUAUUUUAUAUUUUAACAAUGUUGAUUGGGCAUGUCCCCAUGUAAGCCGCCCGAGUCCCUUCGGGGAGAUGGAGUCGGGGUACAAAAAUAAAGUUGUUGUUAUUAUUAUUAUUAUUAUUAUUAUUAUUAUUAUUAUUUCCUUGAAUGAAUCCUGUAAUGGACAAAUGAAAUAAACUGGUCCAUUCUACCAUUAUGAAGAAUUUAAAUGUAUGCUCUAAAAGUGAAUGAAACUUGGGAAGGUAUUUGUAACACAAGAUGGUUUAAUGAUCAUAAAUAUAGUUGUCUAUAGUAACUGGCCUUUAGUAACCUAGUAACUGCUUUCUGCUUCAUUUGUCUGAUAGACUUUAAAGAAAGAUCAACUCCAUGGUGUUUGACUAGUGAUUAUUAGGAUCACUACAGGGAUAUGUGGAAUACUUUUUUCACUUUUCAUCAUAUCGUGUGUAAAGGUGUAAGACAGAAAACAUGCAUGGACAUGCCCACCCUAAAAUACUUAGCAAUUUGAUUAUCAAUGUCUGUAUUCACUACUGUAUCAAAUAAUUGUUUGGUAAUCCUGGAGUUAUCCAAGCAAGAAUGAAAAAUGGUACCAAAAAAUGGUACCUGCUUGGGUACCUUAAAACUUUAUUUUUUAAAUUGAAGUUUAAUGAAAAUAUUGCAGUGAAAUUCUAAUAAAAUAUUGGCUUUCUGUUAAUGUAAUUUUUGUCAUCACAGUACAUCCUCCGUGUCAAGUUAGUUCCUACAGCUAGUAUGAUCUGUUGUUGCUUCACAUCGCCAUAGGAACCUUGCUGCCAUGGCCAUAUGUGAAUAAGCUUCUUUUUCUUUUCUUUUUACAAAUGCAUACAAACAAAUGCAUACAAAACUAAGUAACAAAUGUAUACAAAACUAAGAAAUGUUAAUAUUUAUAAUUCAGUAAAAUGGUGAUAUAGGCUCCUGAUUUCUACAGCUGCUCUGUAAUAUAUAUACAGUAGAGUCUCACUUAUCCAACAUAAACAGUCCGGCAGAACGUUGGAUAAGUGAAUAUGUUGGAUAAUAAGGAGGGAUUAAGGAAAAGCCUAUUAAACAUCAAAUUAGGUUAUGAUUUUACAAAUUAAGCACCAAAACAUCAUGUUAUACAACAAAUUUGACAAAAAGUAGUUCAAUACGCAGUAAUGCUAUGUAGUAAUUACUGUAUUUACGAAUUUAGUACCAAAAUAUCACAAUGUAUUGAAAACAUUGACUACAAAAAUGCAUUGGAUAAUCCAGAAUGUUGGAUAAGCGAGUGUUGGAUAAGUGAGACUCUACUGUACUUGGUGUGUUCCACUCAGGCUGGGGUGAGAUUUGCUCAGAAUUGUAUCCAUAGAACUGGGUUUUCUGUUGUUGUUGUUGUUGUUGUUUUUUGCAGAUGGGAUAUUAGAUGCUAGAAUCUUGUUGGUAACACAUGCUUACAAAACCUGGGUUAAGCUCACAUGCAUACUUUUUUCACUGUUAUGUAAGACACCCUCCCUAACAGUUUUCUUCUUUAAAAUUGCACAUGAUAUAUUUUCCUACCCAUACAGGGAAAUUAUAUAUCUGUUGUGGCAAUAAAGACCAUGUAGCAAUAAAGGCCAGAACCUUCAUUUUGCUUACCUGUUCCACUCCAAAUCUUUUGGUUAUGUAAAAGUGGCCUGAGUCCUCAUUGGAGGAGAAAUCAGAUUGUUAGUUUCUAGAAGAUCCUUCUGCCUUGUUCCUCAACACUCUGGUGUGAGACCAAAACCCUGCUUCCCUUUUGAAAUAUCUUUGCAGAGCAGAUGUCCAUGGCUAAGGUCCCACAAUUUAACAUUAAGGAGUCCUGAGGAUCCAGAGAAUUGAAUCACAUUUAGAGAUGGGAAAGCCUGGACAAAAGUUAGAAAAAAAUAGAAAAAUCAGGGUUUUUUCCUAGUUUUUUCCCCCAAAGCUAUUUUUCCAGGAUUAAUUGAAAAGUAUGUAGAAUAUAUUCUUUUCCAAUGAUAAAGAACCUAUCUAUUGCAUGGUAUUCAAACUGUAUAACAUGAAGAUCUUAAUUAAAGAUUUCAGAGACUGUUUCUAUAUACUUUUUCCCAAUUUUUCCAGUUUAUUUCAAGCCUUCCCAUCUCUAGCCACAUUAUACUCCAAUUGCUAUACCUAUGCUUCCAGACCUUUGGAAAUUCAUGGCAAACCCUUGCCUUGAUUCCUUCUACUUUGAGGAGGAUUGAAAAUCUAUAGCAGAUGCAAGAAGAAUAUGCUGUGCUUUUUGAACAAUAUUAGCUACAUUUGAUUAUCAUUGAAGUGGCACAAUCCAGUUCUUCCAAGAAGACCCAUACUUCUCUGGGAGAUAAGGAGGGGUAAAAAGCAGCAGCAUAGUCCAUAACAUUUAUUUCACAGCAGCUGCCUUACUGUUGGAAUAGCAGAUUACUUUGCUUGUAUGGGAGCCUACCAACAGUUCCUCCAAGACAAGUAGGUCCAAAGUUAAAGUGUAACUCAUCCACCAAGAAAUCAACUUACAAUUCCAAGCUCCAUUUCUGACUUCUCCCUUUGCAAGCAGUUACUGAAUCCAUUUACCUUUUUACAAGCAGGUGGCACUCUUUGACAGAUUGCAUGCUAUCACCACCAAUCCAAGAAUUAAUAUUUCACAAGUUAUAAGGUGGACAUUUUUCCCUUCAAAAAUGAGGUGCACCUUACAUUUAUGGGUUCAUUGCAAUCAUUGUUUGUUUUUCUUGGCAGCCUUUAAAACCAAGAGCUAGCACUGAUUAUCUGCCAAAUUGUUGCCUCCUAAAAGGAAAAAAAAUGAGAGAAAAUAUAAACCUCUUUGGCCUAGUGUUGUCGACCGCGCUUUAGGGGAUCGGGCCCUUAAGGAGAGUCCCGAUCCGGUCCUGAGAGAACGGACCUUGGCGGAGCCAAUAGGGAAAUAUGAGCCGCAAUACA